rnacentral:rRNA from 1 species
AGUGAACGCUGGCGGUAGGCCUAACACAUGCAAGUCGAACGGCAGCACAGUAAGAGCUUGCUCUUACGGGUGGCGAGUGGCGGACGGGUGAGGAAUACAUCGGAAUCUACUUUUUCGUGGGGGAUAACGUAGGGAAACUUACGCUAAUACCGCAUACGACCUACGGGUGAAAGCAGGGGAUCUUCGGACCUUGCGCGAUUGAAUGAGCCGAUGUCGGAUUAGCUAGUUGGCGGGGUAAAGGCCCACCAAGGCGACGAUCCGUAGCUGGUCUGAGAGGAUGAUCAGCCACACUGGAACUGAGACACGGUCCAGACUCCUACGGGAGGCAGCAGUGGGGAAUAUUGGACAAUGGGCGCAAGCCUGAUCCAGCCAUACCGCGUGGGUGAAGAAGGCCUUCGGGUUGUAAAGCCCUUUUGUUGGGAAAGAAAAGCAGCAGGUUAAUACCCCGCUGUUCUGACGGUACCCAAAGAAUAAGCACAGGCGAACUUCGU